GGCGGCGUGCUUAACACAUGCAAGUCGAGCGGUAAGGCCCUUCGGGGUACACGAGCGGCGAACGGGUGAGUAACACGUGGGUGAUCUGCCUCGCACUCUGGGAUAAGCCUGGGAAACUGGGUCUAAUACCGGAUAUGACCACCGGUCGCAUGGUUGGUGGUGGAAAGAUUUAUCGGUGCGAGAUGGGCCCGCGGCCUAUCAGCUUGUUGGUGGGGUAAUGGCCUACCAAGGCGACGACGGGUAGCCGGCCUGAGAGGGCGACCGGCCACACUGGGACUGAGACACGGCCCAGACUCCUACGGGAGGCAGCAGUGGGGAAUAUUGCACAAUGGGCGAAAGCCUGAUGCAGCGACGCCGCGUGAGGGAUGACGGCCUUCGGGUUGUAAACCUCUUUCGACAGGGACGAAGCGCAAGUGACGGUACCUGUAGAAGAAGCACCGGCCAACUACGUGCCAGCAGCCGCGGUAAUACGUAGGGUGCGAGCGUUGUCCGGAAUUACUGGGCGUAAAGAGCUUGUAGGCGGUUCGUCGCGUCGAUUGUGAAAACUUGCAGCUCAACUGCAAGCUUGCAGUCGAUACGGGCGGACUAGAGUACUUCAGGGGAGACUGGAAUUCCUGGUGUAGCGGUGAAAUGCGCAGAUAUCAGGAGGAACACCGGUGGCGAAGGCGGGUCUCUGGGAAGUAACUGACGCUGAGAAGCGAAAGCGUGGGUAGCGAACAGGAUUAGAUACCCUGGUAGUCCACGNCGUAAACGGUGGGUACUAGGUGUGGGUUUCCUUCCACGGGAUCCGUGCCGUAGCUAACGCAUUAAGUANCCCGCCUGGGGAGUACGGCCGC
rnacentral:rRNA from 1 species